rnacentral:rRNA from 1 species
UACGAAGGGGGCUAGCGUUACUCGGAAUCACUGGGCGUAAAGGGCGCGUAGGCGGCCAUUUAAGUCGGGGGUGAAAGCCUGUGGCUCAACCACAGAAUUGCCUUCGAUACUGGAUGGCUUGAGACCGGAAGAGGUAAGUGGAACUGCGAGUGUAGAGGUGAAAUUCGUAGAUAUUCGCAAGAACACCAGUGGCGAAGGCGGCUUACUGGUCCGGAUCUGACGCUGAGGCGCGAAAGCGUGGGGAGCAAACAGG